rnacentral:piRNA from 1 species
UCCUCAAAGGUAGCAGACUUGCUGAUGG